rnacentral:lncRNA from 1 species
CCUUCUUUUAGGGUAUGCCUGCCUUCCUGGAUUGGAUCAGACUGCAUCUGCCUCUUCAUGGCAAGAAUUUCCCUCCUCCUCUCAUUUUCUGGAACAGGACAGUCUAAUGCCACGUAACAAUUUUCCACUUGAAGAUAAACACACAUCUUCCUCAUUCCUAGUGCUCACAUGGAGGAAGAAAGCUCGGCUGUGGGCUGUGACAGUGCAGAACAUAUGGACUAUGGAGAAUACCAUACAUCUAGCAUAAUCUUAAUAAAUGGAAUUUAAGUAAAUGGAUGCUCAAAGAAGAGACCUUCUGGAAAAGGGAAAAGAGAAAAAGCUUUGGAAACAGUCAGAAAUUGUUUCUAUAAUACAUCUGCCAAGUGUCCUGGCUCAUGAUUAUAAUUCUAGCAUUUUGGAAGGCUGAGGUGGGCAGAUUGUUUGAAUCCAGGAGUUUGAGACUAGCCUGGGCAACAUGGCAAAACACUGUCUCUACGAAAAAUGCAAAAAUUAUCUGAGUAUGGUGGCACAUGCAUGUAGUCCUAGCUACUUGAGAGACUGAGGUGGGAGGAUCACCUAAGCCUGGGCAGGUCAAGGCUGCAGUGAGCUGUGAUCAUACCACUGCACUCCAACCUGGGCAAUAGAGUGAGACCCUGUCUGUCUGUUUCUCUCUCUCUCUCUCAAAAAUAAUAAUAUAUCUGCCACUUAAAAGCUUAGUUAGUCCUUUGCUUUUAUAUCUGCAAAUGGGGCCGGUA